rnacentral:rRNA from 1 species
GAUGAACGCUGGCGGCGUGCCUAAUACAUGCAAGUCGAGCGAACAGACGAGGAGCUUGCUCCUUUGACGUUAGCGGCGGACGGGUGAGUAACACGUGGGUAACCUACCUAUAAGACUGGGAUAACUUCGGGAAACCGGAGCUAAUACCGGAUAAUAUUUCGAACCGCAUGGUUCGAUAGUGAAAGAUGGCUUUGCUAUCACUUAUAGAUGGACCUGCGCCGUAUUAGCUAGUUGGUAAGGUAACGGCUUACCAAGGCAACGAUACGUAGCCGACCUGAGAGGGGGAUCGGCCACACGGGAACUGAGACACGGUCCAGACUCCUACGGGAGGCAGCAGUAGGGAAUCUUCCGCAAUGGGCGAAAGCCUGACGGAGCAACGCCGCGUGAGUGAUGAAGGUCUUCGGAGCGUAAAACUCUGUUAUUAGGGAAGAACAAACGUGUAAGUAACUGUGCACGGCUUGACGGUACCUAAUCAGAAAGCCACGGCUAACUACGUG